rnacentral:tRNA from 1 species
GAAAUAAAAACUUAGUGAACUUCUAAUUCAUUCUACUAUGAUUAUAGAUCAUAUUAUUUCU